AUGGAGGAAGAGGUGAAAAAGGCGAUUUUUGAUCUCCCCAGUGACAAAGCACCGGGACUGGAUGGCUACUCCGGGGCCUUCUUCAAAGCGUGUUGGGAGAUCAUAAAAGAUGAUGUUUUGCUUGCUGCCAAUCACUUUACCAAUGUGCGCUCCAUGAACUUAAACUGGCUCAACUCGGCGAACAUUGCUCUCAUCCCCAAGAAGGAUGGUGCGGAAUGCAUCUCGGGUUUCCGCCCCAUUAGCCUCAUCCACGCCAUCGCGAAGAUCAUUGCCAAGAUGAUGGCCAACCGUGCCCCCCACAUGCAUGACCUUGUCUCCAACGCCCAGAGUGCAUCCAUCAAAAAGAGAAGCAUCCAUAACAACUUUUUGUUCGUCAGGAACUUGGCAAGAAAGUUCCAUCGCAACCACUCCCCGACGCUCUUAUUCAAACUAGACAUCAAAAAGGCGUUUGAUUCAGUACGUUGGGACUUCCUUAUGGAUCUGCUGAAACACCUCCGUUUUCCGGACAAAUUUCGUGACUGGGUUUCAGCUUUGCUCUCUACCUCCACUUCAAGAGUGUUGAUCAAUGGAGUUUUGGGUGAUCCAUUGAAGCAUGGAUGUGGCCUUCGCCAGGGGAACCCGCUUUCCCCUCUUCUCUUCGCCCUGGCUAUCGAUCCGUUCCACCACCUCCUCUGCAAGGCCACGGCCCAAGGACAACUCCACCCUCUGUGUGGUAGAUCUUCACCCGUUCGGGCCUCGCUCUAUGCCGACGAUGCCGCCAUAUUUGUGAAGCCCAUUAAGGAAGACAUCCAAUUCCUUGCUGCUACCCUGGCCUCUUCUGGAGAGGUGUCUGGCCUCGUCACUAAUUGUGCCAAAAGUCUGGUUGCUCCCAUCCGAUGUGACAACAUCAACCUUGACGAUGUUCUUCAUGAUUUUUCGGCGGUGCGCACCUCGUUCCCGAUGUGCUACCUUGGACUUCCGUUAUCCGUCAAGCGCCUCAAGUGA
rnacentral:rRNA from 1 species